AUUAAAUUAGUUUAUUAUAAAACGAGGGGUUGUGGGGUCCUAAAACCAAAUCUUUGGAUUUAAUU
rnacentral:tRNA from 1 species